GAUGAACGCUGGCGGCGUGCCUAAUACAUGCAAGUCGAGCGAACAGACGAGGAGCUUGCUCCUUGGACGUUAGCGGCGGACGGGUGAGUAACACGUGGGUAACCUACCUAUAAGACUGGGAUAACUUCGGGAAACCGGAGCUAAUACCGGAUAAUAUUUCGAACCGCAUGGUUCGAUAGUGAAAGAUGGCUUUGCUAUCACUUAUAGAGGGACCUGCGCCGUAUUAGCUAGUUGGUAAGGUAACGGCUUAUCAAGGCAACGAUACGUAGCCGACCUGAGAGAGUGAUCGGCCACACUGGAACUGAGACACGGUCCAGACUCCUACGGGAGGCAGCAGUAGGGAAUCUUCCGCAAUGGGCGAAAGCCUGACGGAGCAACGCCGCGUGAGUGAUGAAGGUCUUCGGAUCGUAAAGCUCUGUUAUUAGGGGAGAACAAACGUGUAAGUAACUGUGCACGUCUUGACGGUACCUGAUCAGAAAGCCACGGCUAACUACGUG
rnacentral:rRNA from 1 species